rnacentral:rRNA from 1 species
CACCGCGGUUAUACGAGAGGCUCAAAUUGAUAUUCUACGGCGUAAAGCGUGAUUAGAGAAAACAGACACUAAAGCCGAACACUUCCUCAGCUGUUAUACGUUUAAAGAAACACGAAGCCCUAUAACGAAAGUAGCUUUAACCCAUGAUCUUGAACUCACGAAAAUUAAGAAA